UUGCAAUUACUUCCAGCUACA
rnacentral:piRNA from 1 species